CCAUUCCUAACAUUCUUUUGCAUUUAUUAGUGGGCUGUUGUUGGACCCGAUGGCAUAGCUGGCUGGGACAAAGUCAAGGAUCUGGCUUCUUACUCGGUGGGACUCCUUACCUCACUGACCCACAAGUUACAGAGGUCAUUGGAUCAUGGACGGCUCUCCUGGAUGUGGAUAAAGAGCGGGUCAACUACCAGCCCCGGCACCAGCCUCAACUUACACACGGCCGCUUUAAGGCACCAAAACGCUCCGGGGUGACACCAGGAGUGGAAAGUGUCAAAAGGUGUCUCAGUGGACAUCCUGGGGUCCAGCUCAGUGGCCAAGCACCAGCCGCUUGGUUCAAUUCAGUUUUAUUUGUAUAGCCCAAAUUCACAACAUGUUGAGGCUGUAUGCAUCAAGCUUAGCAGAUUACAUAAGACUCCCACCAAAAAGGUUGGAGGUGGUCCAAAACCCUCACGGAUUACUACCAUAUCCAGGAUGUAGAGCAGAGGCUGAUGGAUCCAUGAUCCAGCUGUUUGAGCUCAAUCAGAGGAAACUCCUUCAGUGGUUUCAGCGGCGGCAGAAAAACCAACAAAUGAGGCCGAGGACACUCAUUGACUCCACCUAGCCAGUUGCUGUAGCUGCAAGCGACCUUCCAGCUCCAAGGGAUAAAAUGGAUGAGGCACCACAUCCACAUCUGGGCCAAACUUCAAAUGGAUUCUCCCUCUAAAUAGAGCAGGACAGGAUGCUGUGGAUAUUGGACGACAGUCUAACUUAAACCAGGGAGAGCAGGAAACUGUUGGAGUUGUUCCCUCUGUGGUUUGUCCUCUCAGACCUGUCACUAUUGUUCAACCCUUUUGGGACAUCGGAAAACCAUGGCCAAGACAUUAACAUAAAUCACCUGAACCUUCAGCUGCUGGAUUUUCAGAGUCGACUUUUCCAGAGUGAGGAUGUGGGAUUUGAACAAUUGGGUCAAACGCUACACACAGACGUUCGAUCCAGGACCCACAGAUCAGCACCAUCCUCAGCAAACACUGUUCCAGCUCCAGAGGACAGAAUCUUCCAGGGUGGGGCUCCAUCUGCCAGGUGCUGCAGUGUGGACUGGAUCCCUUCCUCUUCCAACAAAGUCCAUGAAUACAUGGAGGACAAAGUCUGGUGUGAUGACCUGGACUGGCCUGCACACAGUCCUGACCUGAACUCCAUAGAACACCAGGCCUUCUCCACCAACAUCAGUGUGUGACCUCACCAAUGACCUUUUGGAAGAAAGGUCACAAACCCUCCUCAACCUUGUGGACAACAUUCCCAGAAGAGUUGAAGCUGUAAUCGCUGCAAAAGGUGGAUCCACAUGGUACUGAACUCAAUGGGUUAGUGACUCAUCUCCAAAGAAAGACCGAGAGAGGGGGACCGGUCACCUAUGCUCGAAGGCAUAGACAUGGGGGACACAGAAUGUCCCCCCACCCACCCACCCACAUAUCCGUGGUGCCUUUAACACCGUCAGAACGGGCAGGAGGAAGAGAGCAGCGUGAACGCGAGGAGGGGGCGUGUCUGCAGCUGUGAACGCUGACCAGAGUCUGUUAUGGGAUGGAAUGUUUUUCUGGAAAGACGGUCAGUGGGGGACAUAGGGGACUCAUAGUGGACAUGUGAGCGCCCAAAAACGAAAAACAAAUCCUUUUAUCUCCCUAGACUAAGACCCCCAAUUUCCAGGAAAAAAUAAUUAGAUUUGUGUCAGGGCGCCCCCACUAUUCUAGGCGGGGGCGGGUUGUAGACUCAACGCUUAUGAUUCCAGACCCGCACCAAACUAACAGCUGAUUCCUAAUAAAAAAUAGUUGUCAUCAAUAAAAUUAAUAUUAUUUAUUGGGUUUACUGGAUUGAA